rnacentral:rRNA from 1 species
UUGUAGCCUGCUAUGGUAUAACUUAGUGGCAGACGGGUGAGUAAUAUAUAGGAAUCUACCUAGUAGUACGGAAUAAUUGUUGGAAACGGCAACUAAUACCGUAUACGCCCUACGGGGGAAAAAUUUAUUGCUAUUAGAUGAGCCUAUAUUAGAUUAGCUAGUUGGUGGAGUAAUAGCCUACCAAGGCAAUGAUCUAUAGCUGAUCUGAGAGGAUGAUCAGCCACACUGGAACUGAGAUACGGUCCAGACUCCUACGGGAGGCAGCAGUGGGGAAUAUUGGACAAUGGGCGAAAGCCUGAUCCAGCCAUGCCGCAUGAGUGAAGAAGGCCUUUGGGUUGUAAAGCUCUUUUAGUGAGGAAGAUAAUGACGGUACUCACAGAAGAAGUCCUGGCUAACUCCGUGCCAGCAGCCGCGGUAAUACGGAGAGGGCUAGCGUUAUUCGGAAUUAUUGGGCGUAAAGGGCGCGUAGGCUGGUUAGUAAGUUAAAAGUGAAAUCCCGAGGCUUAACCUUGGAACUGCUUUUAAAACUGCUAACCUAGAGAUUGAAAGAGGAUAGAGGAAUUCCUAGUGUAGAGGUGAAAUUCGUAAAUAUUAGGAGGAACACCAGUGGCGAAGGCGUCUAUCUGGUUCAAAUCUGACGCUGAGGCGCGAAGGCGUGGGGAGCAAACAGGAUUAGAUACCCUGGUAGUCCACGCUGUAAACGAUGAAUGUUAAAUAUGGGAAGUUUACUUUCUGUAUUACAGCUAACGCGUUAAACAUUCCGCCUGGGGACUACGGUCGCAAGAUUAAAACUCAAAGGAAUUGACGGGGACCCGCACAAGCGGUGGAGCAUGUGGUUUAAUUCGAUGCAACGCGAAAAACCUUACCACUCCUUGACAUGAAAAGCAUACCUAUUC